AUUGAACGCUGGCGGCAUGCCUUACACAUGCAAGUCGAACGGUAACAGGUUAAGCUGACGAGUGGCGAACGGGUGAGUAAUGUAUCGGAACGUGCCCAGUCGUGGGGGAUAACUACUCGAAAGAGUGGCUAAUACCGCAUACGACCUGAGGGUGAAAGCGGGGGACCGUAAGGCCUCGCGCGAUUGGAGCGGCCGAUAUCAGAUUAGCUAGUUGGCGGGGUAAAAGCCCACCAAGGCGACGAUCUGUAGCUGGUCUGAGAGGACGACCAGCCACACUGGGAAUGAGACACGGCCCAGACUCCUACGGGAGGCAGCAGUGGGGAAUUUUGGACAAUGGACGCAAGUCUGAUCCAGCCAUGCCGCGUGCGGGAAGAAGGCCUUCGGGUUGUAAACCGCUUUUGUCAGGGAAGAAACGGGUUUCUCUAAUACAGAGACCUAAUGACGGUACCUGAAGAAUAAGCACCGGCUAACUACGUGCCAGCAGCCGCAGUAAAAC
rnacentral:rRNA from 1 species